rnacentral:rRNA from 1 species
UACGGGGGGGGGCAAGCGUUGUUCGGAAUUACUGGGCGUAAAGGGCUCGUAGGCGGCCAACUAAGUCGGACGUGAAAUCCCCAGGCUCAACCUGGGAACUGCGUCCGAUACUGGAUGGCUUGAAUCCGGGAGAGGGAUGCAGAAUUCCAGGUGUAGCGGUGAAAUGCGUAGAUAUCUGGAGGAAUACCGGUGGCGAAGGCGGCAUCCUGGACCGGCAUUGACGCUGAGGAGCGAAAGCCAGGGGAGCAAACAGG